AGAGUUUGAUCAUGGCUCAGAUUGAACGCUGGCGGAAUGCCUUACACAUGCAAGUCGAACGGCAGCACGGGGCAACCUGGUGGCGAGUGGCGAACGGGUGAGUAAUAUAUCGGAACGUGCCCAAUCGUGGGGGAUAACGUAGCGAAAGUUACGCUAAUACCGCAUACGAUCUACGGAUGAAAGCGGGGGAUCGCAAGACCUCGCGCGAAUGGAGCGGCCGAUAUCAGAUUAGGUAGUUGGUGGGGUAAAGGCUCACCAAGCCAACGAUCUGUAGCUGGUCUGAGAGGACGACCAGCCACACUGGAACUGAGACACGGUCCAGACUCCUACGGGAGGCAGCAGUGGGGAAUUUUGGACAAUGGGCGCAAGCCUGAUCCAGCCAUUCCGCGUGCAGGAUGAAGGCCUUCGGGUUGUAAACUGCUUUUGUACGGAACGAAACGGUCUGCCCUAAUACGGCAGGCUAAUGACGGUACCGUAAGAAUAAGCACCGGCUAACUACGUG
rnacentral:rRNA from 1 species